rnacentral:rRNA from 1 species
GUGAGGAAUUUUCCGCAAUGGGCGAAAGCCUGACGGAGCAAUGCCGCGUGAAGGAUGAAGGCCUAUGGGUUGUAAACUUCUUUUCUCAGAAAAGAAUUAUGACGGUAUCUGAGGAAUAAGCAUCGGCUAACUCUGUGCCAGCAGCCGCGGUAAGACAGAGGAUGCAAGCGUUAUCCGGAAUGAUUGGGCGUAAAGCGUCUGUAGGUUGUUUAAAAAGUAUUCUGUCAAAGAUUAGGGCUUAACCCUAGAUAGGCAGAAUAAACUUUUAAGCUAGAGUUUGGUAGAGGCAGAGGGAAUUCCCGGUGGAGCGGUGAAAUGCGUAGAUAUCGGGAGGAACACCAAAGGCGAAGGCACUCUGCUGGGCCAAUACUAACACUGAGAGACGAAAGCGAGGGGAGCAAAUGGGAUUAGAUACCCGUGAGUCC